UUGCUGUUUACUUGCUGCACCAUUGCAUUGAUUAACUCAUCAAUGGUGCUUUUUGUUAAAUCACUUAGAGACUAUGGUAUUCUAGGUUUUUUAGCUAUAUAGUAUUGGUAGAACAGUACUGAUGUUAAAAAGUAAUCCUGUUGAUUUGUAGUGUUGGUCCAGAAGACAUUCACUGAUGAACCAAAAUGACAGACAACUGUCAUUUUCAUUACCGUGGCUUUUUAGUAUGGGACGAUAUGAAGAAUUCAUCUGCCACUUGAACUUGAAUAGUGGACACAUUGUUUCUGAAAAUGACAAACAACCACUGAAAGGAAAUGACUGUUUUAUGCUUCACUUAAUAAUUACUAACCAAAAACUUGUCAAAAUUAUUAUCAAGAACCCACAAAAAUGACCAUAGACAUAUCACUGAAAUGAUGCUGCUAGUUUCCUUUGUGCCAAUGAUGAAACCAAAUCCAACAGAUCCUGUAUUUGCAUUGGGAAGAACUAAGAGAACUUUCUUCCAUUUAACGUCAGAAUCCUUUUGUCUUCUGUUUUAUCAUGAAACUAUCAAAG